rnacentral:rRNA from 1 species
AAAAAGGGGGGGGGGGGUGCGGAGUGAAUGCGUAGGGGGAAAUGGUGGUCCGGAAUUAUUGGACGUAAAGCGCGCGCAGGCGGUCCUGUAUGUCUGGUGGGAAAGCCCACGGCUCAACCGUGGGGGGUCAGUGGAAACUGGGGGACUUGAGUGCAGAAGAGGGAAGCGGAAGUCCACGUGUAGCGGUGAAAUGCGUAGAGAUGUGGAGGAACACCAGUGGCGAAGGCGGCUUUCGGGUCUGUAACUGACGCUGAGGCGCGAAAGCGUGGGGAGCAAACAGGAUUAGAUACUCUUGUAGUC